rnacentral:tRNA from 215 species
GGGUCGUUAGCUCAGUUGGUAGAGCAGUUGACUUUUAAUCAAUUGGUCGCAGGUUCGAAUCCCGCACGACCCACCA